CCUGACUCCACCCCAGACCUUAUUCAAGGGUUGGCAGUGGAGGCAAGGCACUGAAGAUCCCUGCCUAUCUGAGGCCUUCUAAAGGAAAGAGAGAAGCUCCAGUUGUAAAAGAAUCCGGUUAUAAUACCUGCAGUAAUCUUCUAGAUGACUUUGUAAGAUAGAAUGGAACAUCUGAAACAGAGAUGUGCCUUUGGCAGCUGAGGAGGUUGCCCAUCUACUUGCUCUGCAACACACUGGCGAAAAGAGCAACUUUGUGCUCUGCUGUGAUGUCUUCCUCACUGGUGAGAAUGUGAGGGGCUCCAGGUGGAUAAAUGAGGGAAGAAACCAUCACCUAAGAUAAGAAGAAGUCUCUAAGAAGAUACCUCUGCUGUUUGCCUAUGUCCUGCACUGAGUUUUCUUUUGCAAGAGUUGACAAAGUACCUGACAUCUUUCUACUUUGGUGUCUCCCUUUGUAGACUGAAAAUGCUUCUCAAUUAAAAAACGACAACGAAAACCUCAGUCAAAAUGUUCUAGGAACAUAAAAUCUUAUCAGACACUGAAAAUCUCAUCAGAUUAGUGAUUAUUAUAACUUACACUUCUAUUACAGAUGUAAUGAAUAUUCAUUGUAUACGAACAUAGCCCAUUGAGUAAGUGAUGAAAAGGUCCUUCUCAAGAGAGCUGUUCUCCAGUUUAGAACUGUCCAGUUCUCCAGCCUCAGAGAGUAGUAUCUCUGUGCUUCACUGGGAAGGCUCACCCAGCCAGGUCUUUGCUGCCACAGCCAGUUUGUGGCUGCCGUCCUUUACAGUCACUUGAAGGACAGGCAGAGGCAAGUUCAAUGCUUUAUUAGACACCAGGUGGUAUUCUUUAGAAGAGAACUAGAUAGCAUACUAGAAAUGCAAUGUAUGAAUGCUACAGGAUAUCUUUUUUCAGAGCUCCGAUAUCAAGACUGUUGUACAUACAGCCUUGUUAAGUCAGAAGCUGGGUGUGUUGGUCUUACAUGAGCAAUACCAAAAUGACAGCAUGCCUGGUGUUGACACAAGUCAGAAAUGACUUUGCUUGAGCCAGUUCAGGUGUGAGGAAAGUCAGAACUUUGAAAUUCAGAUUUCAAAAUCCUCCCCAAAGUUCUGCCAGCGGAGUGCCCCUGACAUGGUUACUGUCUGCUUGUGUUAAAUCAGAAAGCCUGUCUGCAUGAGAGGUUUGUAAGUAAUGCAGCUGCAUUGACACAAACUGAAGUGAGAUUUUUAGGAACUGGAUUGAAGAGUUGUGCCAAGAUAGAAUUCUCUUUAAAAUUUAUAAUCAAGUGCAUUUCACUGCAUUUGGUUGGAAAAUGAAUCUUACUAGGUUUUCCCAAUUCUUAAAAUUGAAUGCUGUGACUGUGGGUAACAUUUAAGAGAUGGGUGAGAGAAAUGGACAUGAAGUUGCAUUUUUUUGUACAAAUUCUAGAUUUUGAUCACCAAAGAUUAUUUGCAUCUGUACACUUGUAAUUACACUGAGAGGAAGUAUCAAAAACUGCCAUCAAAAAUCCAAUUUAAAUAAGAAGAAAAUGUGUAACUUGUAAAAGAUUUAAAUUUUCUCAAACAGUAGCUGAGUGGCAGCACCAGAGAAUUGAAAAACAAAUUGGUUGUCAAAGAUGACUGGGAAAGUAAGUGUGUGUGGGAAGCUAUCAGAAGUGAUCCUCAUUUUAAUUACAGGCUGUUUUUUUUAACAGAAAAUGCACUUCCAUUGCCUGACCACUUGCUUUGUUUUAUCUUUGCUCUGUAGAAUUUCACCUCUUGAGUUCAUAUAAUUAUUAGAGAAUUUAAAAUAGUUAUCUAUGCAAAGAAAUCUUCUAAUUUAUGAAGAAAGCUUGAAAAUGUUAUUCAAAAGAGAAAAAUGAACCUUGAAAAAAGUUCAGAAGUGGGAGAUGUGCAAAACAAGCCAUGCAUAAGUAAUGUUUAAGUACAAAUUUUUAAAGCCAGUUCAUGAUUAUUUUUUCAUCUUUUUCAUUUAUAAAUCUUUCACUACUAGUGGUAGAAUUAAUCAUUAAUUUUGGAAGGAUUUAAGUUUACUGCAGUGAAAAAAUUCUAACCAAUUCUAAUAACAAAGUAAAUCUGGAAUAAGUCCAUUGACUUUGAAUUAGAGGACAAGAAGUAUAUUCCAACACAUUCUGUUUGCUGUGCCUUUUCCCUCUUUUACUGACCGUUUUGUCCCCCUUCCCUUUUUUUUAACAUGUAGAUUUUUUUCAUUCUAAUAGCUUUUUAUCAUUAUGUUAAUUCCUCACAAGGGGUGGUGAAUGUACAAGAACGCUAAUACACUGAGUUUGCAUACUUUGUACUGUGUAUGGAAAAUUGAGUCAUGCUAGUUUUAAAAAUUAUAUAUUGAAAAUAUAAUGAAAACUGAAUAAAAUCUGCUGCUAUAAAUCAUAUAUUUGGAUUGCAGUCACUGUGAGACUGAGCCCUUGCAGAUCCUUAAACUUUCCUCAGGAUAAUUUUAAAGCUUCACUCAGCCUAGGAUUUUAGCUUAAAUCUAUUAAACAGAAAGGUCUUAAGACCGUCUGUCAGAGUUUUCUGUAGAUAGUAACAUAAGUACUGGGCUUACUCAAAUUUUGGCCUCUGAGUACCUUGAGCAAGGUGCUUCAUAGCAAGAGCUGAAUCUAAUAUUAAAUAUAAAAUAUUGAUUGUUUAGAUUUCUUGCUGAGAAAACUCAUUAGCAUUUUAAUACCAGUGCAUGUGUAUUUUCAUAUGACAUUCUAUUAAUUUAUAUUUGGUCAAUAUGAAAAUGCCCUUCUUCUGAGGCUCAGACGUUCCUAUUCUUAAAGAUAUAUAGUUUUUUGUUCUGUGACCUUUAUCAUAGAAACAUUGAAGAGUAAAUCUCUUUCAAAGCAUUUAAAUGAGAUCAAACAUAAGCUGCAGAGUAGAUAGAAUGGAGACUGCUCUUUUUGUAAUGCUUUUGAUAGCAAAACUUGCCUUUAUCCCCUUGUUGUUGAAGUACAGCACCACACCAGACUAAACCAGUAUUGAUACAAGCGGCUGUGCUCUGAAGGCACUGCAGAUGAAAUCCAAAUCAGAUGUGUAAAAAUUAGUGCUCCAUUUAAAUUUCAGUGGAAACG